rnacentral:rRNA from 1 species
UACGUAGGUGACCAGCGUUGUCCGGAUUUACUGGGCGUAAAGAGCGCGCAGGCGGUCGUUCAAGUCGAGUGUGAAAGCCCCCGGCUCAACUGGGGAGGGUCACUCGAUACUGAUCGACUUGAAGGCAGGAGAGGGAAGCGGAAUUCCCGGUGUAGUGGUGAAAUGCGUAGAUAUCGGGAGGAAUACCCGUGGCGAAGGCGGUCCACUGGGCAUCAACUGACGCUGAGGCGCGAAAGCGUGGGUAGCAAACAGG